UUGUAGAAGAAACCUUCAUGAAAUUAUCCCUAGGGUUUCCCUGCUCAACACAAAGCAAUUCUCUUCGUGGGUUAAAGCAAUGGAAGGGCUGAAGUUGGCUGCCGCCAAAUUGGUAGUCUAUCUACAUCCAUCCAAGGCCAAAAAUGUUGCCGAUGCUAUUCAUGGUGAAAUCAGCUCUCUACUUUUCAAGUUCAAUGAAACUUUUGAUGGUGUUUUAUUGGCAUAUGACACGGACUUCCCAAGUAAUUUGGCUAAGAUUUUGCCGGGAGUUCAUCCUUAUUUUGGAGUGCGGCUAGAAACAAAACUGCUGCUUUUUCAUCCAAAACCAGACAUGGUUUUAGAGGGAGAGGUAGUUAGACUUAGCGAACAGUCCAUUCAUGUUGUUAUCCUUGGUUUUUCUGCCGCUGCUAUAAUGGCCGAAGAUAUUCGUGAGGAAUUUAAGUUCAAAGCUAAACCUGGCAAAGAAGUCUUUCGGAGUACAAUUCACAAGAAACACAGGAUCAAAAUUGGAACUAUUAUACGCUUUGUAGUUAAAAGCUUCGAUGAAGAAAUACUGCACGUAUCUGGCUCAUUGCUUCCUGCUCACACAGGAUGUGUUAAAUGGUUGGAAAGACAUUUGGAGGAAUGGUCACAAUCUGACAGUACAAUUAAAAAGAGGAGAGCAAACGAGCAAACCGGAGAAAUUUCAGAGCCUGAUAAAGCCGCAAAUGAUGGGAAAACAUUUGCUGUAAAUACUGAAAGUCAUAAUAAGAAGUCUAAGAGAAGGAAAAGUGAGAAUUGAUGAAAAUUUCCUUGAAGUCGAUGUGCAUACAUUUUGCAGGUUCCACGCUUGGUAAUACCAGCAUUUUCUAAAAGCUUUCUUUGAGCAUCAAGGGCCUAUAAUAGUUCAUUAUUGAAGUGAAGAAUAUGAGAGUUUUGAAGGCAAUGCAAUUUAAAGCUGCAAGUCUACUGGUGAUGUUGUCAUGGAUGCUGAUUAUACCUAGUCAUUCUCUGUUCACGAUGUAAAUCUCCAGCUAUGGAGGCAAAUGCUUCGUUAUUUCUCAAAGGUGUAAUUGUCCCGGGCAUGAGAAAUUUCCCUUUAUUUUCUUUUUCCCUUUCCAGGAUGAUUGCUUACCGCAAAAAGGUCGAGUUGUAAUACUAUUGGACGAUUUGUAUCUAUAUGAUUUUAGAUUUCAGUUAUUUUGCGCCACUAAA